rnacentral:rRNA from 1 species
GGCCUCUCGUUUAUAUUUGAGAGGUCUGGCCUGCCCAGUGAAUUAUAUUUAACGGCCGCGGUAUUUUGACCGUGCAAAGGUAGCAUAAUCAUUAGUCUUUUAAUAGAAGGCUGGAAUGAAAGGCUUGACGAGAAAUUAACUGUCUCAUUUUAAUUUAUAGAAUUUAACUUUUAAGUUAAAAGGCUUAAAUAUAAUUGGAAGACGAGAAGACCCUAUAGAGCUUUAUAUUUUAUUGUAUAAUAUUUAUUGUAUAUAAAUUGGUAUUAAUUAAUAAUUUAUUUUGUUGGGGUGACUAAAAUUUAUAAUUAACUUUUUUAUUAUUAUACCACUGAUUUGUGAUUAGUAGAUCCGUUAUUGACGAUUAAUAGAAUAAGUUACCUUAGGGAUAACAGCGUAAUCCUCCUUUGGAGUUCAUAUUUACGGGAGGGCUUGCGACCUCGAUGUUGGAUUAAGAUAAUAGUUUGGUGUAGUAGCUUUAUGAAUAGGUCUGUUCGACCUUUAAAUUCUUACAUGAUCUGAGUUCAGACCGG